rnacentral:pre_miRNA from 1 species
UGUAAACACCCUACACUCUCAGCUGCUGACUGACAGAGGAAGCUGGGAGAGGGUGCUUACCUU